rnacentral:rRNA from 1 species
UACGUAGGGUGCAAGCGUUAAUCGGAAUCACUGGGCGCAAAGGGUGCGUAGGCGGGUCUUUAAGUCAGGGGUGAAAUCCUGGAGCCUCAACUCCAGAACUGCCUUUGAUACUGAAGAUCUUGAGUCCGGGAGAGGUGAGUGGAACUGCGAGUGUAGAGGUGAAAUUCGUAGAUAUUCGGAAGAACACCAGUGGCGAAGGCGACUUACUGGACACAUAUUGACGCUGAGGUGCGAAAGCGUGGGGAGCAACAGG